rnacentral:tRNA from 1 species
GUUUUAGUAGUAAAUUAUAUAUUACUCCAUCUUUUCAAGAUGGCAUAGUUCUUCUUUUGAAUCUAAAAUA